UGACAGUAUGUGUGCAAACAUUUAACUGAUUCUGCGUUUUUACUCUAAAUAAAUAAUUAUUAGUGUUUCUUAGCUUCCAAGUACAUUUUUUUUGGACAAAAUCAAUAGCGUAAUAAUAACAAUGCCAGUAUGUAGUGUUUUAGCGUGUGAAAACAGAACAUAUCGAAGCAGUCCGGCUACAUCCUAUCACAGGUUUCCACUUCAAGAACGUGAACGCACUGAUUGGGUUAAAGCAUGUGGAAGAACAAACUGGGAACCGCCUAAAAGUUCUGUAAUAUGCUCUAAGCAUUUUGAUGACAACUUCUUUAUUAAACAUGGAGAUAGAACAAGUCCCAACCAAGUUCUGUCAUUUGGAAAAUGUUUCUGUACCAAGUUGUUCACCAUCCUCAAUGCAACAUAGUGAAGUUGCCGGCAUCCCUGCCAACUAUAUUUAGAAGCAGGAAAAUCCAACUAAGCGAGGCAAAAGAACAUGAUUACACAGAUACGCCUCGGAAGAAAAAGUUAAAGCUUAUGCUUGAAAGAAAAAGGGUUUUGUCAGAAACUCGAUUGAAAAAACUACGUGCUGCAAGACAAGCGAACCAGCGUUUAGUAAAAAAAAAUGCUGAACUGUCUGACGUUAUUGCUGAACUGCGGCUAAACUUUAAAUUUUGAAAAACAGAUCAACUCUUCUCUUUCAUUUUUAAGAGAUGAUGCGUUAAUAGAAGAAGCUUUCGAAUCCGAGGAACUUGAUUUUUCAGUAGACCAUGACUAUCUGCCAGAUCCAUCCCGUUUAACAGAAUAUACAAAACAUGUAGUGGUAUAUAUUGCGGGCUUUGUUGUUACCAAAGUGUCCAAAAUAGUAAAGUGUCACGAUUGCUUAAGUAGCAUAGUGGAGAUGUCAAAUUUAAACUUGUUAUUAAUUUCCAAAAAAGACAAAGGCGGUUUGCGAUAUCCUUCUGCUGAUGUAAUAAAUUUAUGUGAAAUUGCUGAAAGAAUUUUUAGACAAAAUGUCAUACGGUUAGGUUUAAAAAUACUGUCAACAAAAAAAUAUUUUAAUGCUUUUAAUCAGGAAAUGUAUAGAAAGAAAGAAAGAAAGAAAAUAUUUAUUUCCAUAUUGGACGCCACAUUUACAAACUUACAUUACAGGAGAUAAAAAAAAAUAGAACAAAAAAAAAAAAAACAAAGACAAGAAGACAAAUAAUACAGACAUUAAAUAUACAUACACAAUGGAGGCGCCCAAAAUAAAAAAAAAGGAUCUCCCUCAGCAUAAACAACUAAGCCCAAUUAAAGAUUUUUUUUAAUUUCACGGCAACCGGUUUGACCAUUCUCCUUUAGAAAGCCAUGAAAUGCUUUUAAUGAAAGCCAUAAUUAUGAAUUAUUUAAAAGUUCGGUUUCAUCAUUACGCCAAAAACUUAUCAGAGCCUGAUGUAAAAGUGCGAAAUAUGUACAACAAAUUGACCCUGUUACGUAAUCAAUGAAUAUUUUCAGUUUAUUAUUUUUGUUUUUUUUUAUAGUCAUUUAAACAAAGUUUCUUUCUAUUAA